rnacentral:rRNA from 1 species
GACGAACGCUGGCGGCGUGCUUAACACAUGCAAGUCGAACGGAAAGGCCCUGCUUUUGUGGGGUGCUCGAGUGGCGAACGGGUGAGUAACACGUGAGUAACCUGCCCUUGACUUUGGGAUAACUUCAGGAAACUGGGGCUAAUACCGGAUAGGAGCUCCUGCUGCAUGGUGGGGGUUGGAAAGUUUCGGCGGUUGGGGAUGGACUCGCGGCUUAUCAGCUUGUUGGUGGGGUAGUGGCUUACCAAGGCUUUGACGGGUAGCCGGCCUGGGAGGGUGACCGGCCACACUGGGAACGGGGGCCCGCCCAGACUCCUACGGGGGGCAGCAGUUGGGAAAUUUUCAAAAAGGGCGGGAACCUCAGGCAGCAACGCCCUGUGCGGGAAGACAGCCUUCGGGUUGCAAACCGCGUUUCCCCGUGAAUGAGCGCGAGUGACGGUAAUGGGGAAAGAAGGACCGGCUUACUACGUUC